rnacentral:rRNA from 1 species
GUUGAACGCUGGCGGCGGGCCUAACACAUGCAAGUCGAGCGGAUGAAGGGGGCUUUCGCCUCGAUUCGGAGGGGGGCGGACGGGUGAGUAAUAGGAGUCUGACUUGUCUUUGGGCGGGGGAUAAGGUAAGGGGAGCUAAUAUCACAUCCGAUCAGAAGGUGAAACAGAGGGUUCUUCGGAGAAAGAGGUAAUUGCUGAACCUAGAUGGGAUUAGCUAGUUGGUAGGGUAAAGGGCUACCAAGGCGCCGAUCCUUGCCUGGGCUGAGAGGUUGAUCAGCCACUCUGGAACUGAGCCACGCUCCAGACUCCUACGGGAGGCAGCAGUGGGGAAUAUUGGACAAUGGGCGAAAGCCUGACCCAGCCAGGCCGCGUGUGUGAAGAAGUUCUUCGGACUUUAAAGCCCUUUAAGUGGGGAGGAAGUUCAGUAAGUUAAUACCUUCCUGUUGUGACGUUACCUACAGAAAAAGCACCGGCUAACUUCGUG